rnacentral:rRNA from 1 species
AGGGAAUCUUCCGCAAUGGACGAAAGUCUGACGGAGCAACGCCGCGUGAGUGAAGAAGGUCUUCGGAUCGUAAAACUCUGUUGUUAGGGAAGAACAAGUAUCGUUCGAAUAGGGCGGUACCUUGACGGUACCUAACCAGAAAGCCACGGCUAACUACGUGCCAGCAGCCGCGGUAAUACGUAGGUGGCAAGCGUUGUCCGGAAUUAUUGGGCGUAAAGCGCGCGCAGGCGGUCUUUUAAGUCUGAUGGGAAAGCCCCCGGCUCAACCGGGGAGGGUCAUUGGAAACUGGGGAACUUGAGUGCAGAAGAGGAGAGUGGAAUUCCACGUGUAGCGGUGAAAUGCGUAGAGAUGUGGAGGAACACCAGUGGCGAAGGCGACUCUCUGGUCUGUAACUGACGCUGAGGCGCGAAAGCGUGGGGAGCGAAC